AUCCUUAGUUGCCAGCGAGUUAAGUCGGGAACUCUAGGGAGACUGCCGGUGAUAAACCGGAGGAAGGUGGGGACGACGUCAAGUCAUCAUGGCCCUUACGAGUAGGGCUACACACGUGCUACAAUGGUACGUACAGAGGGAGGCAAGCUGGCGACAGUGAGCGGAUCUCUUAAAGCGUAUCGUAGUCCGGAUCGCAGUCUGCAACUCGACUGCGUGAAGUCGGAAUCGCUAGU
rnacentral:rRNA from 1 species